rnacentral:rRNA from 1 species
UUCUAUGGCCAUGCCACCCCGAACAAACCGGAUCAGGUCUGAUCUCGGAAGAUAAGCAAGGUCGGGCCUGGUUAGUACUUGGAUGGGAGACUACCUAGGAAGACCAGGUGCUGUAGGCG